CUGAGAGACAUCUUCUCCUAAAGGCAAACAGCAAAAGCAGGCGAGCUCAUGAAGAUUAGAAGAGCAGAGACGCGUCUGCCCAGGGAGAAGGGCCCAGGAGCAGGCGGCCUUUUGUGAGUGGCGUCUUUCUGUACCGGACGCGCGGGAGGAAAGUGGAUGGAUGUGGAUGUGGUUGUGGAUGUGGAUGUGGAAUCUUUCUGAGGAAGGCGGAGGUGGGCAUGAGGAGCCAGGGGAAAACGCAGUGACGAGAGAGCACCGCCCCUCCUGCAGGGGGCGCCAGGCCUCGGCUUCAGGAUGGCAAAGGCCCGGCCGGCCCCGAGCUGGGUGAGGCCAGUGUGAGGCGGGAUCCGGAGAUGCCGGGGGGCUGACGGGUGAGAACGACAGGGAGCCGUAAGGGCUUCGUUGCCUCUGCCCACCAGGAAGCGCAGCUUUGAAAAAUUAGAAGGCAAGCAUCUAAUGGCGCAGAGACUUAAACAUAUAUCGCUGCUUUCGGGCUGAUAAGGGCCGUUUAAUCUUCUUUAUAAAGGCCGGCGCCAGAGCGGAGACCCGGAGCGCACAGGCGGCGCGAAAGACACCCGAGUGUUCUGUUUUCAGCCUCUGGUCGCUUCCCUCCCCGGGGGUGGCCCGCGGUCCAUAUUUACAAGUGUUCGCAGGAUUGGAUUGGAUUGUGACGCCGUGCUGCGACUGGAGGUUUGGAUUUUGAGCGAUGGACGCUGGCAUCCGAACUUGGAGUAUUCAUUCCCGCAGAAGGCCGAGAAAACACCAGCGCCGCGAGUGUAUAGACCCCUGUUUCUCCAGCAGGGGGCAGCUUGGGAUUCCCUGAGCAGCGGAUCGGAGGGGAAAACCUCUGCCCCGGUGGCUACAGCCCCGGUGCUGAGGGCGUGCACUGCCGUAUCUGGUCGGCCCCGCCUCGGCUUGGGGUCAGUGCAAGACCGUGCCUCUUUUAAUGUUUCGUGUGAUACCAUUCUGAGCCCCAUUUCGUCACGGCAAGCCUGCAUGUUCCCUUCUUCACCCCCAGACUGUUCCUUGCGGCUCUGCUUUGCCCCUCGAAGUGGAGGAUGUCACCCCUCUGGGGCCCAGGUUCCUGGAGUCUGUGUCCUGCAGUCCGGCUGCCUGGGGUCGCCUCCUGCGAGGGGUCCGGGUCCCAGCAGCUGCAGUGACGUCAGCAAGCCCAGCUUUGGCCCUUCCAGAGGCAACUGGCGCCCUCCGCACGCCCCCAGCAGGCCGGGAAGGGGUCUUUGCGAGGGCCUGGCUCACCCGACUCCAGCUGCGUCACUGAAGAGGAGCGCGCUGGUGGAGUUUUUUCCUGUCUGCUAGGAAUAGAAGCCCCGA
rnacentral:lncRNA from 1 species